rnacentral:ncRNA from 16 species
AACGUUCAUCUCUCUGAUCUGGAGAACGCUGAUCUAGGUAUAGUCAGGAAAAUCAUCGAGAUAGGAGAGACGGAAGUAGGGAAAUCAUCAUUCCCGAAGGAACGCGCC